GCGGGGGCGCCGGGCGGGGGCGCGGGCCCGGAGGCCGGGGACAGCCCCGGGCCUGUGAGGAAGGGUCCGAAGCUGGCGGAGUUCCCUCAGCAAACGGUUUUUCCCGCCUAGGCUAACGCAUUUUUACCCGAAAUGACAGAACUUAAUUCCAAACGGAGAUUUCCAGACUGGCGACAUUUUACUGAGACUAACAGAUUUUUACCUCUGCCUGACAAGAUUUCACCUCAUACGUCGGGCCCCGAGUGGAGCGGAGGGUAGAGAGAGCCCUCGAAUCGGGCUUUGGGUUUAAAAAAGGCCUGCAAGGAAAUUUCACGAAAGAAGAGUCUGGGUGUAGCCAGUAGCGAGAGCCUAAUAAACAUAGGUGGUGGGAUCUCCGAGUGGGAGGACGGAUUUGAUUUUUCUUUGCAUUUCUAAACUUUGUACUUUAAGCGGUUUUUUCUUUGGUUUGGUGUUUUUUUUACAUGAGAAAAUAAAAUUUCCCAUGCCUAGAUGAUGAAGGUCCCGGGUGAGCCCUCAGCCCCUGGCGCGGGCGGUUCGAGGCCCCUGCCUGGCCCUUGAGGCGCCGUGCACGAAUGGAAGGCCUCAGGAUAGCCCGUAAGGAGCCGUGUAGACACGAAUAUUAAAAAGGAGAAAUCCGAGAAAACACCCCACACCGGCAUGUUUACUUUUUUUUAAGCAGAUUACAAAAUAUCUAACUACAGAGCAGUAUUUUCUUUAACAACUAUUUACUGUUUCCUCUGCCCAGGCCUCUUCCACGUUCUUGGGAUGCAAAGAGUAGUAAAGCUCGCUGCUGGUGGUUGGAAGAUAGGUGGAUAGGAAGAAAUGUGAAAAGAUAGAACGGUUUUAGGUUGGCAAAGUGAUAACCAUGACUAUUCAUUUAAACUGAGCCUGCCCACCCACUGCUUCGUGGAUUGGAAAACAGGAAAACAGCCAGGAUUUAUGGUUCCAAGAGCCAUUUGGGUAAAAUAUAGACCAAACUCUGGUUUGGUGAAUAAAGGGGAUAUGAGAAGAGAAAAGCUUUGGGAGCAGAGGAAGACAUAAAAUUAUGUUUUCUUCAGAAAACACGGGGACAAAGGCCAUCCAUCUUCCAUUUCUAUACCCUCCAGGAAGUUCGACAGGUCUCAGAAGGCUAAGCAGAAUAAUGGAGGGUCCAAAUCUUUAAAACAUGUCUAAGGAUAAAGUUUGAUCACUGAUAGAAAGCACGGAUGGAAUCCACAAAGCAGGAAAAUGUCAUAGCAGUGGACACCAGGUAAGUUUUCCCCAGUUUUUACUCCCUUUCCCAACCUGGGACAAAAUGCCCACUUGACCCCAGGGUGGGCCAUACCCCGCCACAGGCUGCCAAUGAUUUGCCCUGUUAGUGUGACCUGGGAUAACAUUCCCAGCAGAAGGCUGCAAACAUUUGCUGAGCACACAGGGACAGGACCUACGGUAAGAUCCUGGAGGUGGAGUUUGGGUUACGCCAUAACUGGGGGUUGCUGAUUUGUGGGAGCUGCUCUUUACUGAACAGGUGAGAGGCUGUGUCAUCUGGGAAAGAAGCUGGGAUCUGCAAUUUGAAAAUGGGACACUGUUACUUUGUACAAAACACAGAAAACAUUUGAAAAUGAGUUGUAUUUUCCAGUGUAGUUUUAGAAUUACAGACUUUAUUAUAGUUCUUCGGACCGACAGCGUCUUUCCAGAAAUACUUGUUGUCUGUACCUGCAGUGGUCUGCAGCUUCAGGGGAGCCGAGAGGUGAUGGACUGACUGCUGAAUUUGAGCUGUACAGUGGUUGUUAGCACUUGACUUUGCUGGAUGACCUGGAAUAAACCAUGAACCCCUUCAAGAGCUUCCUUUUUUGUUGUUUGUUUUUACUAGAAGAGGUAGGAAUGUGGAUGGAAGGAACCUAGCAAAGUGCCCGGAACACAGGAAGGAGUUUGUUUCAUUUAGUUGCAGGUUCCAGAGCAAAUGUGGCCCAUCUUAGCCUGAGCCACUCCUACUUCCCUUUAAGAUGCUCUGCCUU